rnacentral:piRNA from 1 species
UGACACCAGUGGCAAACAUCCUGGGCCC